rnacentral:lncRNA from 1 species
UUAUGGGCAUCUGAUAUUGAAUCAUUUCCGGUAUGUAGGCUCACGAGCUUAUAAACGAGGUUUAGCUAUGAAAAUUACCGGUAACGUGCCACAAAUAAAAAAAAUUUUUUACUCCUUUUCCUCUCCUUUCUGACCGGAAGUCAACUGCUAAUAUCGUAAUUGACAUUUUCUCAUGAGAAAAAAUAAAAACGAAACCAAAAACAAAACAGCGCCUAAUUCUACCUACAGUAACAGAAUCUUACUUCAAGCUGUAUUCAAGUUAUAUCUGAUAACGUUGAAAUGGAUACAGGUGCUGGUAUUUCUUCAGGUACUGGUUAUUCCAAUACCGGUAGCACCUCAGGACCAACUGGCAGCAGUGUUGAAAAAGUAAUCAGGAAGAGCUGUAAGGUAUUGGACAAACUAAAAGUUUUAUCACGAUUGGAAGAGCUGAACAGCAACGUAGCUGCAUUAAGUCAUGAGACAGGAAUAAGUCGAAGAUGCUUACAAAGAUGGCGGGACGAGAGGGACAAGAUUAAGAAGCGGGAA